AGAUGUGUUAGUGUUUGUAUAGGAACUGUCACCAGAUCCAAUAGGCUAAGGAUGGCAGAUGUACAGGAGAGAGUCAGACCUGAUGAAAAGCAGCAGCCUUGCUGUAUAAUAAAUGCCCUGGGAGUAGUGAGAAGGGUCCUGCUUUGCUAGAGGCUUGUUGUUUUAGACACUGAUUGCUCUGAAGUGCUAACCUGACACCACCACCAUGUGUGGAAUGAAGCAGAAACAGGACAGGGGUCACAUCUUUGCAGCUCUCUCAGUGGGGGAUUAGAGAAGAUCUUGGGACCUCUGAACCAUGUCUGGAACCAUUUGUAAUGCCUCAGCUGGGAGUGGGCAGAUGGGUGUUUGAAAAGAUGCUUGUGAGGUGGAGGGGGAAAUGAGGUGAUGAGAUGAGCAGCAUGUGUGCAGGGAAUGCACAAUUUAGCUGGAGUCAUUCUUCCUGCUAUGCUGCUGAGAGGCCUAGCGUAGCCUGAUGUACACCAAUGACCUGUAAGGGAAAUAGCCAUGGCAGAGAGACAGGCCUUCACAAAGAUUCAUGGGACUGGAGCUAAAGUUAAACACUGGUAGAUGGGGGUCUUGAGAAGAGGAGGAGAGAUCAGAUCUUGGAAGAUUCUCCACGUGUAAGGAGUGGCCUGGAAGAAAAAGCACAGAGGUGGUCAUAAGUCAUCGUCAGAAUGAAAAAGAAAAAGGAGAUUUUGCAAGUUGUUUGCAUAGUGCAGAUGGGAGCCCAAAUUAGAGGAGAU